rnacentral:rRNA from 1 species
GGUAAAUCUCGUGCCAGCCACCGCGGUUAUACGAAAGACCCCAGUUUAUAGAUACGGCGUAAAGGGUGGUUAAGGAAAAAUCCAAAAUAGGGCCAAAGACCUCCUAAGCAGUUAUACGCUUCACGAAGACACGAAGCCCAAAUACGAAAGUUGCCUUAAAUAAACUUUACCUGACCCCACGAAAGCUGAAAAACAAACUAGGAUUAGAUACCCCAC